rnacentral:rRNA from 1 species
UCGACCCUACGGGAGGCAGCAGUGGGGAAUUUUGCGCAAUGCUCGUAAGAGUGACGCAGCGACGCCCCGUGAAUGACGAAGGCCUUCGGGUCGUAAAGUUCUUUCGACAGGGAAGAAAAUGCCUAUAAGUAACUGUGUAUGUAUUGACGGUACCUGUAUAAGCAGCCCAGGCUAACUCCGUGCCAGCAGCCGCGGUAAUACGGAGGGGGAGAGCGUUGUUCGGAGUGACGGGGCGUAAAGAGCACGUAGGCGGUGGUGUAAGUCGUUAGUCAACGACUAG